rnacentral:misc_RNA from 1 species
GAAAUGCGAUAAGUAAUGUGAAUUGCAGAAUUCAGUGAAUCAUCGAAUCUUUGAACGCACAUUGCGCCCGCCAGCACUCUGGCGGGCAUGCCUGUUCGAGCGUCAUUUCAACCAUCAAGCCCCCGGGCUUGCGUUGGGGACCUGCGGCGUCCCGCAGGCCCUGAAAACCAGGGGCGGGCUCGCUGUCACCCCGGUCGUAGUAGUAUCUUCUCGUCCAGGGCGUGGCGGCGGGCUCCGGCCGUUAAACCUUCCCACAUCCACAGGUUGACCUCGGAUCAGGUAGGAAUACCCGCUGGAUUUAA